rnacentral:rRNA from 1 species
UACGUAGGGUGCGAGCGUUAAUCGGAAUUACUGGGCGUAAAGCGUGCGCAGGCGGUUUUGUAAGCCCGAUGUGAAAGCCCCGGGCUUAACCUGGGAACUGCGUUUGAAACUGGGAGACUUGAGUGUGGCAGAGGGGGGUGGAAUUCCACGUGUAGCAGUGAAAUGCGUAGAUAUGUGGAGGAACACCGAUGGCGAAGGCAGCCCCCUGGGUUAACACUGACGCUCAUGCACGAAAGCGUGGGGAGCAAACAGG